rnacentral:rRNA from 1 species
GCGAUCACAGGCGAUGAAGGACGUGUAAGCCUGCGAAAAGCGUGGGGGAGCUGGCAAUAGAGCAUUGAUCCCACGAUGUCCGAAUGGGGAAACCCACCCCGCAAGGGGUAUCCCAGACUCAAUACAUAGGUCUGAGGAGGCGAACGCGGCGAACUGAAACAUCUAAGUAGCCGCAGGAAAAGAAAUCAACCGAGAUUCCGUAAGUAGUGGCGAGCGAACACGGAACAGCCUGCACGACUAAACCAUCAGCUAAGCAAAACGGUCUGGAAAGUCCGACGAUACAGGGUGAUAGUCCCGUAUGCGAAUAGCCGGUGGCGGGUCUGAGCGUGCGACAAGUAGGGCGGGACACGAGAAAUCCUGUCUGAAGAUGGGGGGACCAUCCUCCAAGGCUAAAUACUCGUGAUCGACCGAUAGUGAACCAGUACCGUGAGGGAAAGGCGAAAAGAACCCGGAGGGAGUGAAAUAGAUCCUGAAACCGCAUGCAUACAAACAGUAGGGAGCCGUCGUAAGGGGUGACUGCGUA